rnacentral:rRNA from 1 species
GAUUUUGGACAAUGGGGGAAACCCUGAUCCAGCCAUCCCCCGCGUAUGAUGAAGACCUUCUGGUUGUAAAGUAUUCUUGGAAGAGAGGAAAAGGUAUCUCCUAAUACGAGAUACUGCUGACGGUAUCUGCAGCCUAAGCCCCGGCUAACUCGGUGCGAGCAACCGCGGUAAUACGUAGGGUGCAAGCGUUAAUCGGAAUUACUGGGCGUAAAGCGUGUGUAGGCGGUUCGGAAAGAAAGAUGUGAAAUCCCAGGGCUCAACCUUGGAACUGCAUUUGUAACUGCCGAGCUAGAGUAUGUCAGAGGGGGGUAGAAUUCCACGUGUAGCAGUGAAAUGCGUAGAUAUGUGGAGGAAAACCGAUGGCGAAGGCAGCCCCCUGGGAUAAUACUGACGCUCAGACACGAAAGCGUGGGGAGCAAACAGG